GACCGGGUUCCGGGCGACGGUAUGUCAUGAACCUGGUCAGAUCCGGAAGGAAGCAGCCAUAAGUGGCCGCUGCCGGGUGUCCGGGACUCGGUCCGG
rnacentral:SRP_RNA from 1 species